GGACAACCAGCCCAGGGGUGGCCCGGCUCACAAUGGGCUGGGCCCUCCCCCACCCAUCACUAAUUAUGAAAAUGUUCUACAGACUGGUCUACAGCUCACUCUUAUGGAGACAUUUUCUCAAUAGUUUUCUCCUCCCAGAUGACUCUAGCCUAUGUCAAGUUAACAAAAUUAACCAGUAGAUGCCCACUGAGUGUUAAAUGCCAGUCAGUUCUAUGCUUCACAGGAAUUAAUAUCUUUACUCUCAGGACUCCAUAAGGCAGACGCCAUUUGCAGAAGAAGGAAGUGACACAGAGUUAGAGGGAUCAUGUGUGCACUCUCUUACAGUUCCUAUUAGUGUACAGUUUUAAAAACUUACUCUUUAAUUUUUUUUAUAAUCCAGACUUUAUCCCCCUCCCAGUCUACCCUCUGAUUGUUCCACAUCCCACACCUCCUCUCCCCAUCUCCAAGAGGAUCCUCUCACUCCCAUCCUCACCAGAUCUCCCAACUCCCUGGGGCCUCCAGUCUCUUGAGAGUCAUCUUCUCUGAGUCCAGACCCGGGAGUCCUCUGCUGUUUGCCCUCCUCCUCAUCUUCCUCCAGCUUUUCCCUAAUUCAACCACAGGGGUCACUGGCUUCUGUGGAACGAGAUCGCUUUUAUCCAAAACAAAAUCCAUUUAUUUUAAUGGCAAUCCAUUCAGCACCUCCACAUGCAGGUGGGUAAAGUUUGGACUGAAAAGGGGCUCUGAACGAGGGGCAAGUAACUCACACUCAGCAUUGGACUGCACUGCUUUAUUAUUUUCUUCUCUGUUCCAGGUGCUUACAAAUCUAUAGUUACCAGCAAGCAUGACAGCAACAAUGUCAGAAUUCCUCACACUGGUUUCACCACCCUGUUUUUACAUCAAGGAGUUCUAGGGGGCUUCUCUGUCAUUCGCAUGGUCAGCUCCUCUUUGGAUCUAGGAGUCACUUCAGACAGCAUCCCCUCCCCCUCCUCAUCUUUUUCUAAAUGAAGAUUUAUUAUUUUCAGUUAUGCGUAUGUGUGUGGUCUGUGUAUGGGUAUAUGCACAUGAAGACCAGUACCCUCCGAGGCCAGAAGCCUGGGAUCUGGCCAAAGUGGGUGCUGGGGAUUGAACUUAGGCCUUCUGCAAGUGCAGUAUAUUCUAACUGCUGCGCCAUCUCUCCAGCUCUGCUUCCUUUUUGUUAAUGUAUAGUUUGUGUCUCUCUACAUGUUCUAAAAGCCCAUGGGGUUGUUCUCGCUUUCCCUCUCCCUCUCCCUUUCUCCGUCUCCCCCCACCCCCUGUCUCUCCAUGUUAGGUGCAAUCCUUUCCAGUCCACUCAAAUGUUUAUUACCCCAAACUCUUAGAAGCUUUUGCACCCUAACUCAGGAUCUCCCGAGUGCUGCAAUGCUGCUGCUCUGGUGUCCUAGGAGGUCUUUCUCUUACAGGGGCCUGUCAGGUUUUCUUACAAAUUUACCAGUAGUCUGUACACACCCUUUCCCAUUGGCAAACCUAGGGUGCCUCUGCAGUCUCUCAGAAACCUGCUCAAGUCAUCCAGUCCUACCCAUAAUGCUGCCCUAGGCCUUAUCCCUUCUGUCAUGGGUCACUGGGCUGGCAGGACAACAAUUCUCCAACCUCUUUGUUCACUCUUACCUACCCUAGCCUCAUUCUGGUCCUUUGUGACUUGUAGGUACACAUCCCAUUCAUCAAUAUCUGUACUUUACUUUGCUCAUCUCCUCGGAUGCCACCACUUUGGUUGAAAUGAACUGUUCUGGAAAAAUAAAGUUUUCUAAUUUUGUGCUAAACACAAUUCAAGUACUUUGUGAAUUGUAAUCUCAUUAACUUUUAGUGAAUGAGAGUGAGGUGGCAGACACUUCUGGGGAGGGAAAACCAGAGAUUCAUGAACAGGCUUCAAGAAAUUAAUUCUGAGAACAUUUAAGAUUAUUUCUUAUCCUAGCACGGAGGAAGUAUGAGAUUUUCAACAAAAAAAAUGGUUAAAAGAUGUGGAAUAAUUUUAAAUCUUUUUUUUUUGAGAUUAUGGAUCUUUUAUAUCUUAAGCAUUUCUUUUUCAUAAUAUUUUCUCCAUUUUUAUUCUAUUAUAAUGGUUUGAAUAUAGUUAAAAGUGAUACAUUAAUGGUCCAUACACUAGAAGUCUUCUGGAUUUUAAUUUGUGGUAGCUAAUAAAGGCUGAUACACCAGGGGGUAGGCAAGCUUACAUUUUUGAUCAAGGAAAUUUUUUUUAAGAAUGAGUGCAAAGGGGGCACACAUGUGAUUUGGAUAAAUGACACCUUUGGAAAUUCGGGAUUUGAGGAACUAUAAUUGUUUGAUAAUAAAUAGCAGGUUGUAGUGAAACAGGUGAGCCCUUGUGACACAUCAAAGGGAGACUGGAACCCAUUAUCUGGAUAAUUAGGGAGGAAAAAAAUCCCCCUUUAUUUUAACCACAGAGGAGGAAGCAACUCUAUUGCUCAAAUUAAUUAUAAAAUACCUUUAAAGGGUGUGUGUUAAUUAAAAGUAGUUUUGUCUCUUUAGGAAAACCUAGACUUUCAAGAAUAUUAAUUAAGGAGCAAAAACAGAGCUGAAUAACUACACUCAGAGGAUUUCUCAUUUUAUUCCUGUGAAUGGCAGUUAGAAGCUUUGCCACUGUCAGUGUGUGGGGACGUUAUUCAGUUGACAUAAAACAACUUUCCCCAGUGUUUUAGAAACAGGCUGCUAAAUCAGCCCUCGCUUACCCUUCCGCCAGCCUGGCCACAGUGACAGAAUAUUAAAAACUCUGUUUCAGAGGUUACAUGGUAGAGGCUGAGAAAUGUUAAUGACCUAUAUUAAGGAGUAGACAUCAGAGGCUAGCUCACACAACAUUCAUUCUUAGGCUCCACUUCCAAAGACAGAAGUCGUCACAGGCUUUAAUACUCUUUUAAGAGCGACAACUGCAACAGUGUUAAGAACAACAUUUUGUUUCAACUACUUGUGUGAAAAAAAUAAUGUGAAAAAAAAUUCUCUGGGUCUAAAAUCUUUGUCAUUUCUCAUAGCAACGCAAUUUCACAUUUCAGGAUUCCAAAACUAAAA
rnacentral:sRNA from 1 species